ACGAGUACAAACUUUGUGUCCAACCGCCCACACGAAACGGUCCUUUUAAAGGAAACUCGAUAUGUCUCAAUCUUCAUUGCACUACACUCAAAGCUUUUGGGAAUGCGAUGUGGACCAAAACAUUUAAAACAAAAGUCGUUUUUCUUUUUCUUUAUUAUUAUUAUAUUUAUAUAAAAAUGGUGUUCCAAAGAUGUCCAAACUUAGACAAGAAAAUCUCGAGUGAAGUCGAACGCUUCAACGGCUGCAAGGAGGUCCGCCAAAAAAAGGAAGUCAAGUGACCACAGAAGAUUUCUUGCUCGAAACUUAGAUGGCCUUUCCCAGAAACCUCUCACGCCACAGCACAGAGGUCACGGCACAGUAUGCAAGAGACCCAGUGCGGACAGACGGUCGAGGAAAAGAGGAAGACCACAUUCCCAGAAUCACAGAAAUGUGCAUCGUCUCUGCACGUAGCAAAGGGUUUUACUAUAUUUAAUAAACACUGACGCAAAGAAAAGAAAAGCUUCUGUCGUAUAAUGACUCGGUUCUGUCACUAAUAAACUCAGAAGAAUGUUGGAAUCACACAUUCAAAGAGACCUGUAAAAUGACACAAAUUUAUUUGCAUUCCAAAAACAGACAGGAACUAUUUAUCAUUGUUUAGUUUCUAAUUUGUUUUCUUUUUUCAUGACAGAUGAUAUAUCCUGAUAAGCUGGCUGAUUUCAGUCUGAGUCACACAAAUAUGCAAUUAUUUUAAACAUGGCGGAGGAAUAGCUUCUGUUUCCAUUAACUCUGGUGCAUUUUUCACAUUUAAAUUCAUUUAAAACAUGGUGUAACUUAAUAAAUAUAUUACAAUGAAUGAGCGUAAUAAAAGUUUCAUUUUUUCA